rnacentral:tRNA from 1 species
GUCCCUGUAGUGCAAUUGCUAGCGCGUUGGACUUCUAAACCAAAGGGUUCGAAUCCCACCUGGGAUG